AGCUGUCCGGCUUGACUCCGCCUCGUUGGCUUUUGGUUCCGUAUGACCGUUAAGCCAAACGCGACCGUUUCGAGCUGUGUAUGUUCAAAUCAUACUCACCAAAUGAACGAUACAUGUUUAACUGCCAUUUUAUUAACCUAGUAUAGUAAAACCUCUUCAAAACAUUAGCUUAUGCGCAUUACUACCUUACUUCUCACCGAGCGCUAAUUCUACAUGCCUGGAUGUAGUAGAAUGAGGACGACCUCACUUCUUCUGCUUACAAAAGGUACCUGCAACCUGGAUCGUACCUCACUUGAAUCGCCCUGGACCGAAGGAGAAUUGGUGGAGUUCAAUUUCUACUACAGAGUGAUUUUUCUCUUUUCACAAGCAAGUGUUAAUGUACUGGAAAAUGUUGUAUAAACAUAAUUUUAUUCCAUGUUAUACCAACAUGGAAUAAUAGGUGUGUCUUUUAUAGACAGAAAUAAUUUUUUUAAGGAAUGGGUGGAGGGCGGCACGGUGGAGCAGUGGGUAGCGCUGUCGCCUCACAGCAAGAAGGGCCUGGGUUCGAUUCCCGGCCGGGCGACCAGGGUCGUCUCUGUGUGGAGUUUGCAUGUUCUCCC